rnacentral:lncRNA from 1 species
AAGGGUUUGGUUUGAGGUCGAGAUCACUAAAAUUGGUCGAGGACGAAUCUAUGAGCAUUGUUGAUGCGUUGAAGCAGAGUUGUUGGGCCAACAUGCCGCCGGAGUUGUUGCGGGACGUGUUGAUGAGGAUUGAGGCAUCCGAGUGUACCUGGCCUCCUCGGAAGAAUGUGGUGUCUUGUGCCGGUGUUUGUAGGAAUUGGAGAGAAAUCAUGAAAGAAAUUGUUAAGAACCCAGAACUUUCUGGCAAAUUGACUUUCCCCAUAUCACUGAAACAGGUUUGCUAUGUCUUCAAAUCUUUUCUUUUAACCUGUAUGGAUGCUAUCAAUUUUGGAUUCUGUUUAGUUAACACGGCAAUGACUGUUUUUUAGUUUUGUAGAGCAGUUUAUUUGGUUAGUAANGAAGAUGUCGUUUAAGAGUAUAAUUCAGGACAUGAAGGGAGAGUUUGGUAGUAUUUCUAGAAAAGGGUUUGGUUUGAGGUCGAGAUCACUAAAAUUGGUCGAGGACGAAUCUAUGAGCAUUGUUGAUGCGUUGAAGCAGAGUUGUUGGGCCAACAUGCCGCCGGAGUUGUUGCGGGACGUGUUGAUGAGGAUUGAGGCAUCCGAGUGUACCUGGCCUCCUCGGAAGAAUGUGGUGUCUUGUGCCGGUGUUUGUAGGAAUUGGAGAGAAAUCAUGAAAGAAAUUGUUAAGAACCCAGAACUUUCUGGCAAAUUGACUUUCCCCAUAUCACUGAAACAGGUUUGCUAUGUCUUCAAAUC